UGCGCCCAUCCUAAGCCAGAUCCUGGAGA
rnacentral:piRNA from 1 species